UACAGAGGUCUCAAGCGUUGUUCGGAUUCAUUGGGCGUAAAGGGUGCGUAGGCGGAUUGAUAAGUCAGUGGUGAAAGCCUGUUGCUUAACAACAGAACUGCCAUUGAUACUGUCAAUCUUGAAUAUGUUUGAUGUGGGCGGAAUAUGACAUGUAGCGGUGAAAUGCUUAGAUAUGUCAUAGAACACCGAUUGCGAAGGCAGCUCACAAAGCCAUUAUUGACGCUGAGGCACGAAAGCGUGGGGAUCAAACAGG
rnacentral:rRNA from 1 species